GCCGAAGUGGCGGAAUCGGUAGACGCAGCGGACUCAAAAUCCGCCGCCAUUAAAAGCGUGUGGGUUCGAGUCCCACCUUCGGCA
rnacentral:tRNA from 1 species